ensembl:lncRNA
UUCCACUCCUACCAAACUCCAGAAGAUUAAAUAUUUCAUUAUGAAGCAAAAAGCAGAAAAAUGGCAGGUCUGAAGUGUAGUUCUUACUAGUACUUUCCUGAGCAGUCUGUACAUCACUGCUCUCCUACAGAGCCUGCAGUUCUCUUGGGGAGGUGUGAAAGCAUGGAGAGGCUGGGCAGGGAUAAGAAGUGACGUUGGGUUUUGUUGCAUGUAUCAAAGAGCAACCCACAUUGCUAAGGUGCCUUGGAGGUGCUUAGCUAUUCAUAUGGGUACCAUUUCCUCUCUCUAUUGGAAAUAAUAUCUGGGUAUGGAAAAUCAUAGAUGGAUAUGGAUAAACUUUCUCUUAAACUAAAUGAAGAUCUGGAGGGCUCACAGGUACCUUCACAAACAGCCUCUGAGGACUGAGAGAAGGCAAAGCUGCACCAGCUUCAUCUAUGUGGUGCAGUAGCACUGUGAGACAUAUAUUUGGGCAUAAAUAUGGGAUAUUGAUAAGACAUGCACAGUUCUCAUUGAUGAGUGCUAAGCUGUCUCUGCUGAAAAUCAGGUACCUUAAAGUGAGUGCGAUUUUGUGUUCUGAAAUGAGCUAAAUUUCUUACUCAUGUUCAUAUUGGGAAAAGCUUAAUACCUUCAGUCUGAUGCCAGUGACUGUAUUGAGCAACCUGGCAAAGGCUCACGGAAAAAAAAGUCAAAGCCUUCAAAGAUAAAAACAACACCACCACCAAUAAUAAUACAGACCUCCAUAUGAAUAGUGGUGCCACCAAUUAACAAUAAGGCACUGGCCAUGGGGUGCUGUGAUUCUGUGAGGCAUCUUGUUGGUCUCAUCUGAUUUGUUCAUCAGAUUAGCCAGUCACUCUAUGCCUGAGCACCAAGUUCUUCUUUGCUUGCCCUCAAGUUAAGUUAUUAUUGAGGUCAGCAGAGGUAUACUGACUCAAGCCAAGUGAGAAUCUGGCACAGCGGUGCCUCAUACUACAGCUGUAUUUUCCAUGAUUUCCCUUUUUUUGGGGUUUUCAACAGAAACUGCAAGUUUCAAAAGAGAAGGAAAAGUUACUUUCCAUGAAAAACUAAUGAUUCAGCAUCUUACAGGCAGACGGACAGUCAGAGGGACAGAAAACAUGGCUGAAAGAAGACAUAUCAGCUUCGGUUGAUUAUCUGUCAGAACUUUUCUCUGUCCUAAAUCUAUUCUUGGUCAUAUGACGCAAACAUGAUGAACUGACUCUGAUGAACUGCUUGCCACAGAAGCCAAAGGAAGACAAAUCCCUGUUGCAGAUUUUAAGGUGAAUUCUCUAAACGUUAGGCUACAGCCUCAGCCUCGUUUUUCCUGCUCCAGGUAAACCUUUCCUUCUUUUCACUGCACAGCUACACCUGGUGUGAAGGGACAGAGAAAUGACUUCUUUUCUUUCUUUUUGUCUUUGUGCUUGGACUGUACUUUUUAAUCUUCCGUGCUGGUCUGGGAACUGAAACCAGCUUUCUUGCUUUUCCAGUGACAGACCCAAAGACUACAGUUUGAUAUAUUAUGAUCACUUCCCCUUCACUUCCUCUGGUCAUCCUCUAGAAGGCAGCAGUCUUUUCUGCUAAACUUCACAGAUACUGAUCAAAGUAUGAGCUCAUCCUGUGGACCAAGCCCUCCAAGGGGUUUGUACCCUGCAAGCAUCAGAUGGACCAUGGUGCAACUUCUGAGUCAGCAAGGAAGAUGGCAGCAUCUGGACAAUAAAUUUUACCGUGGUAGCUUUUGAUGUCUGCAAUGGUGUCCCCAGAAAGGAGAAAAAAAUGCCUCUAACUGAUGUGGGUACAUUUCUGAAAUUUUGGUGAGCUGAAGGAAGAAGAUGAGUCAAUCCCAGUCUGUGAAUGUGAACACACGAGGGGGAGCCUGAGGAAGCUUGGUCAUCUUGAUUUGUCCGACUGAGGGAUUUGAAGACCACCUUAUCACUCGAUGGAACAGCCAAGACCACUCAGAUUCAGCGGAAGAUCAUCAGUCUUCCAAAACACUGCAAGAGUUGUGCAGUUUCACGUGUGGUCUGACCUGUACUUGUGGAGCUAAUGGGAACUCUGAUGUGUGCAUCUGGUUGAGAAUACUUUGCAGUACCACGCUGAGCACAACCAAACUGCAGAGCCUUCCAAAGAGGUUGGCUGGCCGGCUGAUCACUUUUGCUGUUGCAGUCAUCCUGGGAGCAAAACGUCCACGACAGAAGAUGGGCAGACAUUAAAAGAAGUUGGAAAGAGUCAGAAGUUAACAAAGGAGUGGAAGAUCAUGCAGCUGAAGUGGAAGGAUGUUCUAGAGAUACACUUUUGCUAGUUUCGCAGUAUUUUGGAAACAUUAGAAGUUUAGGCUUUCAGUGGGCAUAUCUAAUCAUAAAGAAGAAAAUGAUACUAGUGGUAGCCUUUGUUAGGGUGUCCAUAACUCAGUACUUCCCCUAUUGUCACAGACUUCUAUGUUGGAUUCAUCCAUCCUUAGGUAAUUGUCUAAAACCGACACCAAGAGAUGCCCUCUCAAGUGACCUUUCACUGAUAAAAGCAGGAAACCUGGCUUAAAGCAGGGGCUUAAAAGUUAAAUGGCUACAUUUAAGGGAGAUUAAUUCUACUCCCAGCACUUAAUCUACAUUAAUCAUCAGGGCUCAGUAUCUCAUCUCCAGAAAGACACAUGGAGCAUGCAUCCCAUUCUUGGAUGGGAGCUUAUGGGAGCUGGGAUAAACCAUCCUCCAAAGUGUCAGUUCUCUGCACUGCCUACAGAGAGGGAUGAGAGAGCUCUUCAGAAAGGUUCUGCAGAGAUUUUCUUAGAAAAUCAGGCAGGGUGAGUGCAGAUUUUGACCUUUUUGUGGCGGAGGGACAGAGAUUUUCAAGACCAAGUGCCCUUAGCACUGGAUUAAAUGCCUAAAACUAGGCAUUUAAACUAGUCAAAACUAGUCAACUAGGGAAGUACUUAUUUCUACUCAUGGUCUGUUUUGCUUGAAUUAAGGAUUCAAUUUAAGCAUCACCUGUACAUGUGAAGUUUUUGCCUUCCAAGAUACAGAUGCGUAUAACAGAUAUCUCCCAGAUGGAGGUAGAGCUUCUAGUGGUGUUGCCAUAGGACUGAAGCACACAGUAGGAAGUUUAUUUCAGUUUCAAAAGUGAAGAUUAGUGCAACAGAGGCAAGAAUGAUCUGUCUCUAUUCUCUUUUCUCUCUUGAAUUGACGAACACUCACAAAUCAACUCUUUGAAAGAGUAGAUAACAGCAGGACGAGGGCAAAUGGUUUUAAGCCGAAGGAGGAAAGGUUUAGGUUGGAUGUCAGGGGGAAGUUCUUUACUAUGAGAGUGGUGAGGUGCUGGAACAGGAUGCCCAGAGAGAUUGUGGAUGCCCCAUCCCUGAAGGUGUUCAAGGCCAGGUAGGAUGGGGCCCUGGGCAGCCUGGUCUAGUAUUAAACUGGGAGGUUGGUGGCCCUGCCUGUGGCAGCGGGGUUGUAGAUUCAUGAUCCUUGAGGUCCCUUCCAACCUGGGCCAUUCUAUGAUUCUGUGAUUCUGUGAAAUCAGGAUGACAGUGGGGAAGAGCUGACCUUUUUAUUUACACUAAAUACAUUUAAAUGGUAUAGGGGGAUCAAGAGCAGCAUAUUACUUUGGCCAUGCUACAAAUUUUCUUGCACAAUUUCCUCAAAAGUUGAAUGAAUUUCAAGGCUAACCUGCAUACAUUUUUAAUUAAGAGAAAAGCAUUUAUCCUUUGGAUGGGUGAGAGCACUGAAUCUGACCAACACUCUUCAGAAGCUCCCAGCCCCCUGCUUUAUUCCGUGAACUUACACUCCCAGAAAUGUGGCACGGCUUUAUAUUUCACAGCAUCCAUAACGUGGAUUUAUCAAAGGUCACUAUGGCAACAUUCAGGCAGUCUGAGACAAAUAUGAGUACGAGCAUAGAAACAGGACAAAACAAACUGAAAUCGCCCCGUUCCCACCCUGCCUUGUACCCUGGCCCUCCAGCUCCAAAUUUAGACAACCACUGUUAUUAAUACUCCGGUCGAUAUUACCUCAGUGGAGGUUGAAAAGCAGAAGAGAGUUCACAGCGCUCACAGGGAGAGGAAUAUCACUGCGGUAUAGGCAUGCUACGUGCAUGGGAUCGCUGGGGCUAUGGGUAGCGCUGCAGAAUAAUUGUAUUGGCAUGUGUGAAUUCUGGGAAUCAGAGCCUCCUCGUAUUUGUUUUGGCCGGGUUUCCAUGACAAUAAGUGCACUUGCUAUUAAUUCUCUAGUUUAUUACUUGUCUUUAUUCCUUGUAUUUGGGGGAGGGGAUUAUUCACAUCCGCGGUGGAAUUCCAGGCUUUAUGUAGUUAAACCUGAACUUUUUGAGAGUGUAUACAUAUACAUACAUAAAUAUAUAUGUGAGAAUACAAGGUACUCAAUCAAAAAUCUCUAUAUUGACAGUGAUACACGUUUUCAGAAUGGACUGAAAAAAUUUGAGGUAUAUUACUCUUCUUUUAUUAAUCAUAUCUUAAACUGUUCUUCUGGAUAUAUCUUAACCACAAUUAAAUUUAUAAGGUCUUCUUUUCCCCCUUAUUUUGUUCAUUUUGGUAAAUGAUACACUUUUAACAUUUUAUACCCCGUGAAGAAGGAAAAGUGUCCAAAAGAUGAAGGCGUUCAGAAUUGUUUUUCCUUUCUCUCUUCAUGUACUUAUUCAUACUUUGUUACAUAGGGUACACGCAGACCAAUACACACACACAAAUCUAUAUGAAAGAGCAUCAAUGGAAGUACGGUUGCAAAGUGAACUUCUCAGUAAUUAAGAUAAGGCAAAAUAAAAGUUCCUUGUGAAACUUUACCUUUCUCCCUUUUACUACAUGUUAUCUUGCAACUUACUGAUCUGGUAGCCUUCCAUUUGUAAACGGGAACCUCCCAUGGUGAGAACCGUCCUCUGAUAGCAGGCAGUAAUUUGUUACAGAGUUAGCUUUACUGUGCGGUAGUUGCUUCCACA